rnacentral:rRNA from 1 species
UGGGGAAUCUUGGACAAUGGGCGCAAGCCUGAUCCAGCCAUGCCGCGUGGAUGAUGAAGGCCUUAGGGUUGUAAAAUCCUUUCGUGGGGGACGAUAAUGACGGUACCCCAAGAAGAAGCUCCGGCUAACUUCGUGCCAGCAGCCGCGGUAAUACGAAGGGGGCUAGCGUUGUUCGGAUUUACUGGGCGUAAAGCGCGUGUAGGCGGGUCGUUAAGUUGGGGGUGAAAUCCCGAGGCUCAACCUCGGAACCGCCUUCAAAACUGGCGACCUGGACCUAAGUAGAGGCAAGUGGAAUUGCGAGUGUAGAGGUGAAAUUCGUAGAUAUUCGCAGGAACACCAGUGGCGAAGGCGACUUGCUGGACUUAUGGUGACGCUGAGACGCGAAAGCGUGGGGAGCAAACAGGAUUAGAUACCCCUGUAGUCCCUGAGCGGGCUGGCAAGGCGCAU